UGGUUGACCAAUACUUUUUAAGCAGGCACUGGGCAAGAGGCCUUGAAAUGUGGGCCCUGUUUUGAAAGCAUAUGGGAUAUAGUGCUGCUUUGUUUGGUUGUGUUUGAAGUCACUCCAGAGGAGAUGCAGAUAAAUUGAACAAUGCUGACUGUGUAUGUUGACAGCUGCUGGUGUAGUGUGUUUUGAUUUAGAUCUGGAUAAAUGCUUGAACAUCAAAUGAUUGUUAUAUCUGCUAUCUGCCAAUGAAGGUUUGCCGCACGCAACGAAAGCAGUCAUCAUAGCGAGAGAGUUGAGCUGGCUGUUAACCUCUUUGAGAGCUGGGACUAAUUCUGGAUGAGCUACUGGUAUCAAUUAUUUUAUAAUUUUUAUUUUAAAGGUGUUUAUGUAUAUUAUUUUCUGUCCUAUUUUGCAAUAAAUAUUUGUACCUUAGCCAUCUGAAGGGUUUCGUUUUUGGGCCUGUGCUCUAAACAGGUUUCUUUCUCCUUCAAAUUCGUUUCGAAGGGGUGGCGUAGUUGCUACAAUUUAGCGUUGUCGGCAGGAUUCGAACACAGCAAACUUAAAUCCCAUACACAAAGGCAUCUACUUCUUCAAGACCUUCUUCAGAUUUAGAAUGUACUACUAUCACCCAGCCUUCUCAGCCAGCACCGCCUAUUCCAUCUGACAUCACGGAAACACCUGUUAGCACAAACUCGGAAACUGGGGCUAAUGGAGCCGAAGCGGAAUUUUCAAAUCUACAGGCCGUGGUGAUCUCGGGAUCGAUCAACCUAAUCAAGAAAAUGAAAACAGUACCCUGCAUGCAUGUUCGGUGGGGAAAAAAAAAAUAAAUAAAUAU